ensembl:snRNA U6 U6 spliceosomal RNA
UUGCUUCAGUAGCAUAUAUACUAGAAACUGGAAUGACACAGAGAAGAUUAGGAUGGCCCCUGGGCAAGGAUGACGUGCAAAUUUGUGAAGUGUUCCUUUUAUUA